rnacentral:RNase_P_RNA from 1 species
CAAGUAGAUGGCCUUAUCGCUGUUUGUUUUUACAAAUGGAGGAAAGUCCGAACACCAUAGUGCAACAUAGUGGUUAAUAGCCACCAACCGUGAGGUUAGGAAAAGUGCAACAGAAAGGAUGUACAGGUCAUGCUGUAGUGAAAUCAGGUAAACUCUAUGUGGUGCAAUGUCAUGUAAACCAACGUUAGAGGGCUGCACGCUCGAUUGUUGGAGGGUAGGCAGCUAAAGUUUGCUGGUAACAGUAAACGUAGAUAAAUGAUAAGGGCUCGAAAGAGUACAGAAUUCGGCUUAUAGAUUUACUUAUUUA